GGUAUGGGAUGAGCUUGCGUCCGAUUAGCUAGUUGGCGGGGCAACGGCCCACCAAGGCGACGAUCGGUAGCCGGCCUGAGAGGGUGAUCGGCCACAUUGGGACUGAGAUACGGCCCAGACUCCUACGGGAGGCAGCAGUAGGGAAUAUUGCACAAUGGGGGAAACCCUGAUGCAGCAACGCCACGUGUGGGAAGAAGCAUUUCGGUGUGUAAACCACUGUCGUGAGGGAAUAAGGCUAAUUUUCGGGUUAGUUGAAUGUACCUCGAAAGGAAGCACCGGCAAACUUCGUGCCAGCAGCCGCGGUAAUACGAGGGGUGCAAGUGUUGUUCGGAAUCACUGGGCGUAAAGGGAGCGUAGGCGGAGGCGCAAGCGGACUGUACAAUACCGGGGCCCAACCCCGGACCUGCAGUUCGGACUGCGUUUCUUGGAUAGUUCAGGGGCAGGC
rnacentral:rRNA from 1 species